GAUGAAGCCUACCAUGGCUCAAAACCGACUUGGUGAGAGCAGUUUGGGUGCAGGGCAGAGCACGGGCAUGAGGUUUUGCUGCUAACGCUGCCAGUGAGGUGCAGUCUCUGGGGGGCAGCACACCACCACCUCCUGGGCCCGACUGCUGCAGACACAGCUUCAACAUCUCCUCAUAGAAAGAAAUGCUUCUGUUUUGAAGUCUUCAGAAAGCUUGGUUUUGACUUCAGGAGGCUUCCUGCAGUAAAUACCUUCCAUUGAUUUUUUACAGUUUCCAUUACUGCGUAGGAUCCUGACUUGUGGAAAAGCAGCCCUUCAGAAAGAGGGCUCGUUCUUAGGUUCUUGCCAAGUGGUUUCUGUUCUGGAUGCCAUGAGAUCUCCUGUUCACCCACGACCGGACACCAAGAAGGGCAGUUUACAUGUUUGAUGCUUCAGAAGGAAGAUGUAAAGGAUGUUUUCCAUCUUCUCGGCUAAGAGAAGGCCAAGAUUGCCCAUAUGCAAUGACUAAAUGUGAAGUACAGAAGAAAGGACAAAAAAAGUACAGAUUUUGAAAAAGGCAAGGUGAAAAACAAAACUCUUUUUUUCUUUUAUUAAAAUUUGUUGCAAACACAUACGUAGUUUAAAUGAUUUUCACUGUAGCAUGUGCAUAGAUUUGUGUGUUCUUGCCUAUACCCUAUGUUGUUUAAAUUGGAUUUCCUUAGAGUACUUGCGUGAGGUAUUUUGUGUGCAAUAUUUUAUUAUAAUUAAAGUGAAUUUGAAAGAAAAA